UACAGAGGGCGCGAGCGUUGUCCGGAAUCACUGGGCGUAAAGGGCGCGUAGGUGGCGGCAUAAGGCCGUGGUGAAAGUCUGGGGCUCAACCCCAGAUCGGCCAUGGCGACUGUGUCGCUAGGGUACUGUAGAGGCAGGUGGAAUUCCGGGGUGUAGCGGUGGAAUGCGUAGAGAUCCGGAAGAACACCAGUGGCGAAGGCGGCUUUUCUGGCCUGUUCUUGACGC
rnacentral:rRNA from 1 species